rnacentral:rRNA from 1 species
UACGUAGGGUGCAAGCGUUAAUCGGAAUUACUGGGCGUAAAGCGUGCGCAGGCGGUGAUGUAAGACAGAUGUGAAAUCCCCGGGCUUAACCUGGGAACUGCAUUGGUGACUGCAUUGCUGGAGUAUGGCAGAGGGGGGUGGAAUUCCACGUGUAGCAGUGAAAUGCGUAGAGAUGUGGAGGAACACCGAUGGCGAAGGCAGCCCCCUGGGCCAAUACUGACGCUCAUGCACGAAAGCGUGGGGAGCAAACAGG